GAUGAACGCUGGCGGCGUGCUUAACACAUGCAAGUCGAACGGAAAGGCCAGUGCUUGCCCUGGUACUCGAGUGGCGAACGGGUGAGUAACACGUGGGUGAUCUGCCCUGCACUUCGGGAUAAGCCUGGGAAACUGGGUCUAAUACCGGAUAGGACAAUGGUUUGGAUGCCGUUGUGGAAAGUUUUUUCGGUGUGGGAUGAGCUCGCGGCCUAUCAGCUUGUUGGUGGGGUCAUGGCCUACCAAGGCGUCGACGGGUAGCCGGCCUGAGAGGGUGUACGGCCACAUUGGGACUGAGAUACGGGCCAGACUCCCACGGGAGGCAGCAGUGGGGAAUAUUGCACAAUGGGCGCACGCCUGAGGCAGCGACGCCGCGUGGGGGAUGACGGCCUUCGGGUUGUAAACUCCUUUCGCUAGGGACGAAGCGUAUUUGUGACGGUACCUGGAGAAGAAGCACCGGCUAACUACGUG
rnacentral:rRNA from 1 species